rnacentral:rRNA from 1 species
AUAUGCUGGUCUCAAAGAUUAUGCCAUGCAUGUCUAAGUACAAGCCUCACUAAGGUGAAACCGCGAAUGGCUCAUUAUAUCACACCUAAUCUACUGGAUAGUUAACAGUUACUUGGAUAACUGCGGUAAUUCUGGAGCUAAUACAUGCACAAAGCCCCGAACUUACGUGAGGGGCGCUUUUAUUAGAUCAAAACCAAUCGGCUUCGGCUGAACUCUUGGUGACUCUGAAUAACUUUGGGCUGAUCGCAUAGCCUAGCGCUGGCGACAUAUCCUCCGAAGGUGUGCCCUAUCAACUGUCGACUGUGGCAUAGACGCCCACAGUGGUUUUGACGGGUAACGGGGAAUCAGGGUUCGAUUCCGGAGAGGGAGCCUUAAAAACGGCUACCACAUCUAAGGAAGGCAGCAGGCACGCAAAUUACCCAAUGACCGAAGGUCGAGGUAGUAACAAAAAAUAACGAUACAGGACUCAUCUGAGGCCCUGUAAUCGGAAUGAGUACACUUUAAAACCGUCCCCGAGGAUCUAUUGGAGGGCAAGUCUGGUGCCAGCAGCCGCGGUAAUUCCAGCUCCAAUAGCGUAUAUUAAAGUUGUUGUGGUUAAAAAGCUCGUAGUUGGAUCUCGGCGGUCUGAGGGCGGUUCGCUUCAGAGCGCUACUGCCC